CGCAAAAGCAAUAACUUCUCAAAAGCUUUUUCUAUCUCUAUUGCUUUUUCACAAAAGCAGUAACUUCUGAAAUCAGAAGACAGUUAAUAAGAGAUUGCUCUGAAGUCAUUAAAGCAAUUAAUCAGUAUGCUUAUUUGACAAUAAUGCUUCCUGGAGUAAGUCUGAAAUCACUGUUAGCCCUGAUAUCACAGUUGGUGAGAGCACUUUCCAGAGGGUAGCUGGAGGCGGCCCUGGCAGCUGCACUGAACUGUCAUGCUGCACAUUCCAUGGUUUAAACAGUAAUUUAUUUUGCAAUCCCUGCAUCAUCAACUCUGGGAUGUUUGUCCAUAAUGUUUAAUGUUUAAAGAAGUCAAUAUUUAAAGAGACCUGUUUUCAGCAAAUAAAAGCUCUUUGUUGCUUUAAAGUUAAUAUGUCACACAUUCUGAUGGUGAUACAGAGCAAGAACUGUCACCCACAAAGUGUCAGUGCCUUUGUUAAGAUAAGAAAUUAUGGUGCCAAAUGAACCACUAGAGAAAAAGACUGCUUAAAACUUCUGGCACAGUUUGUGAGUAUCUUAGUAAAGUUCAUUAGAGCUUAAAGGAAAAAAUCCAUCUGUUAAUUCUAUUAAAGACAUGCAGGGGAACAAAAAAGUGUGAGUCGCACAAAACAGGCUAUAUAGGAUUUGCCAGUGUAGAGAAAUCUGCUGCUCUACCUUCUUCUACAAGCCAGCAUGGGAAUAAACAGGCAUGUGGGACACACUGCUGCUCCCAGCAAUGUCUGUAAGAGCUUACACAGUACCUUCCUUUAGGAUCUCUGCUUUGAAGUAUCAUGGUAUGCUUGGCAUUGAACUUCCGAAAGGGAUGCUGGAAUAACCACAAUAACAAAUUUGUGGGUUGUGCUGUCCGCAGGGGAAGGUGAUGACCAUAAAAUCUGGUACUACAGGCACAGAAGUCACAAUGUACACAACUGCAGGGUAAUAUGAGCAAAGAAGUAAAGGGUUGGUGAACUCCUUUCCUGCGCUGGUGACUCGAGGUUGGCAGGCUUCGCAUCUGCUAACCCUGCUGCUUCUAGAUCACCCCCCUUUGCCUGACAGGGCUUUCUGCUGCCAAGGUCUGUGGCAGCGAUGCUGGGAAGUACAACCCGCCUUCUCUCCCCUCCCACGCAGAGGAGGAGCGCUGCCUUAAACAGGAGAUGGGCAAAAGAACUCUGAGAAAAAUCCAUAGUUACCAGAGUCUUGAAGACCUGUAUGCACCUCUUAAUUGAAACUCCUAGGAAGAUUAGUGAGAGGACUUCUGAAUUUAUACCAUUCAUUGCAUAAAUACAAACAUAAAAUUUAUUCUGACUUGGGGAAAUUCACACCUACAAACAAACAGAAAAUCAUACCACUGUUUUGGAAAAGCACCCCUUUUAUCAGCAAUUAGUUUAUUUAAAGGUUCGGGUUAAAUGUAGUGUAUUUGUUGUGCAAGCACAAACUAUACCAAAAACAUUCUUAUAAUUUUAUUUUUUCUGAUUUCUCAGAAUCUGUAGCCAUUUGUUUACAGAUACUCUACACAGUUCUGAUAAUUCUGGGAUAAGGGGAGACGUUAAAAACCACGUUGGCUCUUAACAAGGAAGUUUGGCGUUUUAAGCUGAUGCAAUUUUCACUUAUUGAAAAUCACAUCAGACAAAAGCUUUCUGUUACUAGAAAUAUUUUUGUUUGUUUGUUUCAAGGGAGGACAAAAUACAGCUUAACACUACUAAGCACCAUUUCUAAAGAAAUGGGGGAUAUAAUUUGUUUCGUCAACCUAAGCUUUGCAAGCUAGAUCCUCCAUAGUCCCUAAAGGCAUUAAUAAUUUCUUGUAAAUAGAAAAGAGAAACAAACAAGACUUAUGAAAUCAUCUCAAUACUCAGGUCUCUGCACUCCCUCUCUCUCUGCACUCUCUGUCUCCAGACCUCAAAAUGCUGUGAAGCCAAGGCAAGUUGCCAAGAGUUUCACACCCAGUGCUGAACUGGCAUAGAGUCAAAGGUUGCUAGUCACAUUUGGAUGCCAAAAUAGAGUACUGCUCUCACUACUGGCUUUUACAUGUCCUUUUACAAAGCUAGAUACUUUGCAAUCUUUGCCUCUUAUUCAAGCUUUCAUUGCUUGCUUUUGAAAGUUUUCCUUGAGUGCUAAUCUUGCUGCUGGUAAGAAAGCAUCUUGCGUACUAAAAUAUUCCUCUUCAGUAAUAGUUGUCAAUGUCCCUCUUCUGCAAUGGGAAGUACAUGCUUCAAGUGUUGCAUGCUCUGUAUAUCUCAGCAGUAUCAGCUCAGUGCUAUUCAAGCCUGCUCUUUGGUCCACAUUCACCAUUCAGCCACACUGAGCCAACCUCUAAAGCUCCACUGAGAGGCUGCCUCAGUCUAAGCUCGACAGCUAUGUCUGAUGGAGACAGACUGCUCUUUCUUACAGCCCCCAAACACAUCCAGAAUUCCACUCAGAACUGUAGCAUGUUAAGUGCAAUACUGCUCAGUCAGUGCACAGCAUUGGCCCUCAGUAACACUGUAUGAAUACACUCAGUGACUGACCACUGCAAUUAAAAAAGCCACAGGCCACACCAGCUAGGAUCUGUUCCUGAGCCCUGGUCACAAGUAAUAUCUGCCCUCAGAAGAUACCAUACUGGGACAGCAAGAUGUUUGACCCAUAAUUUGCAAGCAUACUUUUGGAACACCAGUUAGCAACUAAUAAUUCACAAACUUCACUUUAAGGUCAGAAAUGUUCCUACUGAACUGUGUUAAAUGCUUUGGGAUCAGUCACCUGAGUGAUGCUAUGAGCUCCCAGAUCUAACUAAAGUUCUUCUCUUUUAUAAAAGUGUACAUGUAUCAAAGCACCUGACAAAAUGGCAAAUUGACACCCUGUCAAUGGCAUUUUAAUAUGAUGCUCUCUUCUCUGGGAAAAGCAAGAAAAUCACAGAAAACUCGAUGUAACUUUAUUUUUGGGGAUGUCCAUAUCCAAGGGGCCACCAGAAGCAACCUAUACAACUGAGUAGAUGUCUCCUUGUACCAGUGCAGAGUUAACUUUGGCAAUGGGGGGAAAAAACACUGCAGCCUGUGGGGAAGUAUUUAAUCUCUGUUCUCGUGUGCAAUUCUCAGCAACACAGCAAAAGGAACACGCACUACAAUUAAUGAUUCACACAUUUAUAACUCUUGACCUUUGUUAGCCGAAAAACCUAAGUAAACCAAUCUCUACACUUAAAUUUCUUGUAACAGCUGUGAAUAAGACAAUUGUUUUAAAAAAAAGUUGGGCUGCUUAUUUGGAAGGAUAACUGGUUUAAUUCUUUAAGGUAACACAAAGCAGGAAUACAGGAACAGUCAGAUGGAGUUAAAAAAUAAGGCAAGCGGUAACUGCUAAAACAAAAUCUAAAAAGCUAUUUAACUUGUGCUGCACACUUCAAUUUUGCAAUGAUAAAAAUUGUUUGUUUAUCUCAUCCAAGAAACUGUUUCCUCAUUUCCUGUUACAGCAAACAGCUGACUAGGUGAAAAGGGUUGAUCAGUAAUUUUGAGGAUUAUAACUACAUCAUUGAUCUGGUUCCCAGUUAAUGGUCAUUAAAAAAUCUGUUAUCUUUGCAGCAGUUCAUUGGACAGAACACACUAUUUUGACUAUUUCCAACCCUUAGGAUGGCUGACAUGUCCUAAAAGAAUAUGCAAAAUACAUAUAUAUUCUUUUUAAUCACUGCCUCUUUUGGCUUUAUCCACACACUAAAAUGAACAAAGUCUGACACUAAAUUUUAUGUUCUUGAACAAGAGCAGGGCUCCUUUUCUCAGUACAUCUCAUUAAAGCUCCUACAGCUUGUAUCUAGACUUUUGUCUUAUGGCAGCAAUGUAUGCCUCGUAUUUUGCAGUAACAUAGGGCAUAAUGAUAAUUAGAAGCAUAUUUGUGUCAGGCUAGCAAGGGAAAGCCAAUGAAGAAGUAAUGUUAUUAGGAGAAAUAGUACAUCUCACUCUCAAGAACUCAGUGUUCUGUGAAGUGCCAGUGAAGAAAUUCCUAUCCAGUUUUAGCAUUCUGCUUUAGAGACCAAAAGUAAAUUGGGAUCCAUAAGCACUGUGGAUUCCUGUAGCUCCACCUAUUAUCUAUUACUGCCAGAUGAAGCUUUUAACUGAGUAAAUCAAUUUAUGCUUAUAUAUUUGAGUCAAAUAUGCUUGACAGUGCACGCUCUGCUGAUUAAAAAAAGUAGCUUAAUCAGCAUAAAUGCCUUGUGUGCAAGAACCCAGAAUCUCACGGGAAACAGGACUGCAGCAUUUCAGCUGGGGAAAAUGGCUGUUGUCCAGAUCACCAGUGAUUUGGAAGGUUGUUUCUGUGUGGACACAUUAAGUACACAUAGAGGUAUAUAAGGCAAUGGCUGCUGGAUGACAUUGGAGCUCUAUGUCCACAGAAAGGUCAGAAAAUUAAUUGCUGGAGCGGUUUUAAGGGGGGAAUGGAAGGAAACUUGUUAUAUCACCCUGAAAAGUGUAACAUUCAAACAAUGAAUAGGGGUGCUCACACAGCAAUUACUUAGAAGUAAAAGCUUACCAUUGUGGCUUCCUGCAUAGAGACACAAUGUAAAUAAUUGUUUGUGUCUUCUCCAAGAUUUUACUUAUGACAAUUUGUUAUUGAAGACAAUUAACAGUUAUACCAACAAACAAACCCUCCACUCCAAAUAUUUUAAAUAACCUAACGAAGGUUAUUUUUCUCUUCCAAAAUAAAUUUUUUGCACUUCUCUAUUGUGGAGUCACUAUUGCCUUUGCUCUUCAUGCUCAGGAACUCAAAAAGUAAAGAGGUUCUUCAUUUCUGAAGUGAAAUAACACAGACUUAAGGCUAAUUUAGAAACAAACUUGGGACCUCCCUCAAGCCAGCUGCCCUAGGAUACAAAGAUCUAGUGUUCUUCACUUUCAGGACUGAGACACAAGAAGAAGAAAGGAAUAGCUCUCUUUAAUUUUACUUAAGUAUUACUUGUGUAUUUCCUUAAAUAGAAGGGAAACAAUGUAAUCUAAAGCAUCUCAAAAUUGUUUUCUUUGACUUUAAAUUGCUGGCAGUUUGAGUUAAGAUUAUUUACUAACAUGAGCCUCAGUGUUGUGCUCCAAUCGAUCCCUUCAGUGCUGUAACUACCGCUUUGUUACUGCAGUUACCUACUGAUAUUGCACCCACUGGGUAUUUAGGCAUAAAAUCUGGUCAAAAGGCAUUAAUGGGAAUUUUGCUACUUUCUUUGCAGUCUAGAGUUCACUUGCAGCUUGUUGAAUCACUAUUUGAUUUUGUUUGCUUGUGUUUGCUUGUUUUUUUAAAUGGGGCAAGAUGAAUUAAUUGCUACAGUAUCAACAUUAAUACUUCUGAUGACUCCAUUGAUAACUGAUGAUUUAUGCCUGCGGUUUUCAAACUAUGUAAUAUGAGAAAACUUUCAUUUUCUGUUUUCAGUAUUGCUGCUUUUUGAGAAGAAACAUUUCUUGUUAAUGCACCUAAAUGGGUCUAAAAAAAAAAAAAAUAAAGGAAAGCAAUUAACAAGAAAGAAAACAUGCUGUUUCUAAGUAGUAUGCAACAACAGUUGCUAAAGCCACAUCAGCAGGACAGAAGAGCACCAUACCAGGAAAAUGAGCAACUAACCCCUGGAGACCUUGCUCUUGAUAUGUUGGAAGAGUAUCUGAAUAUUAUUAUUAGUAGUAUAUUAUAUAUGAAUGGAUAUAUGUAUAUGAAUAUUAUUAUAUUAUCAUAAUAUUUAUGUUUAUGAACAUAAAUAUUAGCCUAAUAUAUUCAAAUCUAUCUUCUUUGUAAAAGUGACUAUUUUCUGGAAAAACUGAUUUGUGUGAGUGAGCCUCAGAAUAAAUGAUCUCUGGUGUUUUCUCAUUAAAGUAAAUAAUCAUCCUUUUUUCUAGCUGUACUAAAGAUUUCUUUUGUCCAGUGGAACAGUGGUUCUUUCUUUUUGUCAGCGAAUCAGGGAGAAUCCCUUCUUCAGAUUAGAAGUAUGUGUAUUGGUAUAUUGUAAUACAAACGUAAGAGACAGAUCUUCUUGAACCAUGACAGUAUAUAAAAUCACUGCUCUGGGUCACUUAAUUUUAUUAGAAAUGAGAGUGCAGGAUCCUUCUUUCCCCAAACUCACAAUUUCUGAUUACUUUCACUUCUCCAUCUUUCAUUAAUAUUUCAAUUUUGCAAGGCAAACAUAAAUCUGCUCAGUUUGCAAAUGACUUAGCAAUUGCAAGCACAAAUGUCCCAUUAUACAACUGCAUUUGCUUCCUAUUUUAAUCAGUGCAACAAUUUUGCAAUUGUAUAAAUGUCCAAUUACAAAACCUGCUGAUAUGAAAGAUGAUAGAGAAACCUUCACUGUUGACAUGCCGCUACCCUCCAGCUGAAUAUAUCAUGCUCAGUGCUAUAGUUCUUGUCUGUAAUAACACCCUACCUAGUUCACCUGUUUACGCUCUAAGAAAUGUGCUGAGUUUGUAACUUUUGUGCCCUUUUUGAAGAUGCAAGAGAGGACAGAAUGUGAUGUCUUCAUUCAGGUGACCUCUGCAGGUGCAGAGGUAAUCAGUUUGCUGCAUUAGAUGUAUCAUGUAUUGAUCCAUGGUAACAUUUAGCUAUCUCCACACUCAAGAUCCUUUCAGACUGGAGGUAGCUGACCUCACAGUGAAAAGAAUUAGCUAUUUCUAGAGAAAGAAAAAGGGUUGUUUCCCCUGCUUAUGUUUCUUUAAUUUUUUUAACAGAUUAUUUCAAAACAAUAGAUUUUUCUCCAUUCUCUAUGUAACACUAAUAAAAUAGAGAAGUCUUGUUGAGGACUGCCAUCCUGGAUAACUCUUCCCCUCAGAUUAUGGCUAAUAUUCUGAAAGUCAGCACAAGGAGGAAUGGCAUGCAUGUCCUCUGACAUACACAGAAAGUUAAAAAUUAUCAACAACUAGUGACAAUCUACAAAGAGAUAUCAACACUUUUGAAAGGAAAAGAACACACACACAUAUAUAUAUGGAGGGGGGAGUAAUUUCAGAAAGUUCCCUCUCUAAUUUUUAGACUUAAUAUUAUGAAAGUAUUACUCACAGUUUCAGGGGCUAUUUUAUUUCUUGUCAAGCUAAAAACAGCUUCAAGAAUGCAAUGUAUGCAUAUUUAACAUGCUUAUUCCAGGAGGGAAACAGAGGUUUUUUUGUUUUCAUGUUCUCUCACUUUUUUCAGCAUCUAGUAUAUUAUAUGCAAAGGGUGUCUGUGAAUGAAGGAUUCCACCAGUUCUGUUUGUCAUCAUAUUGGUGUCCAGACCUGCAGACUGCAGUAAUCAUGAUUACUAUCCUUUUUGCAGGUACAGCCCUACAAAUUAAACCCCUCACUAAUUAGUAAUAAUAUCAACCCAGGGACAUAAAUUCUAAGCCAAAAACUAUAGCAGAAUGUAUACUAUAAGCAUGUAAAUUCCAGGGGAAAAAAAAGUUCAUGGGUUCAUUGCAACCUCCCUACAGCUUUUUCUACAAAUUUCUUCAAUUUCAACAUCAAUAUUUUGCAAUGUAACUAUAGGUGUAAAUUUUUAAGUCCACGUGGUGACUUCAAAAUGGAAGCUGUACUCUAAAUGAAGCCUCGAAUUUCUCAAAAUAUUUUAUUUUCUCAGCAGUGUUUCCUGAUGUCAGCCUUCCAUUUCAUCUAAUUUAGAAAAAACUGUUUUGAAAAUCCUGCCUGUACCAUGGUUUUUGUCUUCCACACAACUGACAGCUGAAGCCAGUUCAAAAAGGAUGAUUAAAGCUGGAAUAGGUAUGAAGCCAAGUUUCCUCCUGGCUUCUCUUCUUCCUGCUGUGCCCCGUGUGGCUGGCAGAGCUUUGUCAUUCUGGAACAGAGGCUGCUGGAAGUGAAUUCUUCAUAAGCAGAAUGGCUUUUGUUCAAUUUUGACUCAGGCUUCCAGCCCAAACUCUUGAGUAAUCUGUGCUGAGAAAGCUGUCUGCGUACAAGGUUUGUGUUGGUUUUGUUUGUUUGUUUUUUGAGUUUUUCAAUUGGUUGGUUGGUUUUUGUUGUUGUUGCUCUUUUCUAGAAACUUCCAGUCAGAUUCAAUCUGCAGUACAGAGAACCAUUUUCUGAAAGACUGUGUUCUGUGCAGAGGAUCUUUACUAUCAGCCUUGUGCUAGUAUAUUCUUUGAAAAUUACAGGAAAUUGGGCUUUAGAUUUAGAUACCAAAAAAAUUAUUCUUAGGUUUCUAUACCUCUAUUCCUUUAUGUGGGUGAAUUGUGGAACAAAUCAGAGAGGCAUACUGCAUUAUUUUACUUCAUGUCUAUUAAUUAAUGUAUUCAUUUUUUUCCCUGUACAAACAGGUUACAAAAAUGGUGUUUACACAUUAAAAUUUUCUUUCUGAAAAAGGAA